rnacentral:rRNA from 1 species
AUGCGACGGUCGUCACGAAGAUGGCGAGCACCAGCAGGAUCUCGUGCUCUGCGACUUGAUCUUUUUUGUAGGCGGCCAGAAGAGGAAGACGACGUAGCAGAGGAAGGCGACAGUGACGUAGGCGGUGAGGCCAGCCACCAUCACGGCGGCGCAGACGGUGGUGAAUUUGUCGCGGCUGCUCCCAGCGGCGUAGGCCCCCAUCAGGCCGAACAGGUCGAUCACCAUGAUCACCCGGAGCGAGCCGUGCCAGGGGCCGCCCUCCUCCUGCAGCACGAGGAGGAGGAGGCUGACCACGAGCGACGCGGCGAAGGAGACGGCGUUGCAGUAGUAGAAGACGAUGUAGCGGUAGUAGUAGGUCUCCCGGAGAAUUGA